rnacentral:rRNA from 1 species
UAGGGAAUCUUCGGCAAUGGGGGCAACCCUGACCGAGCAACGCCGCGUGAGUGAAGAAGGUUUUCGGAUCGUAAAGCUCUGUUGUAAGAGAAGAACGUGUGUGAGAGUGGAAAGUUCACACAGUGACGGUAACUUACCAGAAAGGGACGGCUAACUACGUGCCAGCAGCCGCGGUAAUACGUAGGUCCCGAGCGUUGUCCGGAUUUAUUGGGCGUAAAGCGAGCGCAGGCGGUUUAAUAAGUCUGAAGUUAAAGGCAGUGGCUUAACCAUUGUUCGCUUUGGAAACUGUUAAACUUGAGUGCAGAAGGGGAGAGUGGAAUUCCAUGUGUAGCGGUGAAAUGCGUAGAUAUAUGGAGGAACACCGGUGGCAAAAGCGGCUCUCUGGUCUGUAACUGACGCUGAGGCUCGAAAGCGUGGGGAGCAAACAGG